rnacentral:tRNA from 2 species
GCUCAGGUGGUGGAAUGGUAUACACGUACGCUUGAGGUGCGUAUGCCGCGAGGCGUGGGAGUUCGAGUCUCCUCCUGAGUA